rnacentral:rRNA from 1 species
GACGAACGCUGGCGGCGUGCUUAACACAUGCAAGUCGAACGAAGUGGCGAACGGGUGAGUAACGCGUCAUCAACCUGCCCUUCAGAGGGGGACAACCGUUGGAAACGACUGCUAAUACCGCAUACUGAAGGUGGGGAUUGCGUCUGAUUAGUUAGUUGGAGGGGUAACGGCCCACCAAGUCGAUGAUCAGUAGCCGGUCUGAGAGGAGGAAGGGCCAAAUUGGGACUGAGACACGGCCCAGACUCCUACGGGAGGCAGCAGUGGGGAAUCUUCCGCAAUGGACGAAAGUCUGACGGAGCAACGCCGCGGGAGUGAUGACGGCCUUCGGGUUGUAAAGCUCUGUUAAUCGGGACGCGGUACCGGAAUAGAAAGCCACGGCUAACUACGUGCCAGCAGCCGCGGGAAUUC